rnacentral:rRNA from 1 species
GCGAUUCCCUUAGUAGUGGCGAACGAAACGGGAAGAGCCCAGCGCAUAAUCUCCCGGGCCGCCCGGCCUGCGGCGAAAUGUUGCGUUAAGGGAAAGGUCGCUCGUAUGCCACGCACGCACGUGCUUAUGCCUAAGAGCGAAUUGAAUUGUUCGCGCUUGUUCGGCAUUCGCUCACGCGAGUUGUCGACGUACGGUUCCAUGGAGGGUGCAAGCCCCGUCUGGCGUACGUUGCGUUGCGUUGGUUCGGCCUCUAUUCCCUAAGAGUCGCGUUGCUUGAACAUGCAGCGCUAAGCAGGUGGUAAACUCCACCUAAGGCUAAAUAUAUCCACAGAACCGAUAGCUGACAAGUACCGCGAGGGAAAGUUGAAAAGUACUCUGAAGAGAGGGUGCAAAGACCGUGAAACCGCUCAGGGUAAAAGCCAAAUGUCGAGUGAUCCUAGAUGCUGGGGCAUUGUCUAGUGAUAGAUGAUUGUUAGUGUCAGCGUGCGCGUUAAAAGUUGUCAGGGUUAUGUAAGCGCGUCGUUUCAGUCUCGAGCUCCGCGCUCGAGUCUAUUCGAUCAUUUAACUCCGGCCUCUCUAACGCAUCGAGCGCAUCGAGUACACUAACCGUUAGGCCCGCUAACAGCCCACCGCAACUGUUGUCGAGGUCACUCGUGGUAGAUGGACGUCAGUUCGUGAUUUUCUCGCUCUAUCGGUCGUCGAGUUUACGCUUGCGAGAUGUUUUCCAGGAGUAAGGAGUUAGUCUCUCUGAAAAUGGACUUUCGUAAGCGAGCGUACAAACUGUUGACUACAAGAUCAGUAGACUAAGUGGGUUAGUCAUUAAGCGAGCUACGCGUUAUACUACCAAUGCGAUUAUGUAUGAUCCUCUAGCAGCGUUGUUCGCUGACACACACCCAGUGUGUGCACGGUGGUAUAUGCUAGGUGACAUUGGUCACGUCUCGAAACACGGGCCAAGGAGCGUAGCGUGCGCGCGAGUCAAGGGGUCUUACUAAACCCUACGGCGACAGUGAAAGCGAGUGGUUCGUUGUCAUACGUGUCAACGUAUCCCGGAUUGUGACUGUAGUCCUUUUACCAAAGUCUAUUCGUCGCAUGUCCGCUUUGUCAGGGCCGAUCCCGAUCGAAAGAUUGGGCGCAAGCCCCGGGCUCACUCGUAAGUCGCGAUUUCUCUCUCUCACGAGAGGGUUGUUGUGAUGGAGAGAGCACCGAUUAGCGUGCACGGUACAACCCGAAAGAUAGUGAACUAUGCCUGGCGAGGAUAAAGCCCCAGGAAACUGUGGUGGAAGUCCGUAGCCGUUGUGACGUGCAAAUCCAUGGUAUCAGCUGGGCAUAGGGGCGAAAGACCAAUCGAACUAUCUAGUAGCUGGUUCCGUCCGAAGUUUCUCUCAGGAUAGCUUGCGCGAUUACGGCACGUUUGUUCGAAUCUCUAAGCUGGCGACAACAGUCGUACUCGGGAUCGUUCCUACGUUGCUCGAGAGCUGAGGGCAGACUCCUCUUAGGAGUUUGUGGCCACGCCUCCAACGCUCGGAAUCUCUGACACCUUACUUUCUUAUUCAGUUACGUCUGGUAAAGAGAAUGAGUAGAGGUUGCGUGCCGCGCGCCCAAAUGCGCGGCAGCGGCGGGGCGUUCUACGCCUCGCACUAUUAUCAAACUUUAAAUGGGCGAGGAACUCGGCAUUUCUUAACUGAGUUAACUGUGAUGCCGGGGUAACGAGUGCGCGUCGCCGUAAUAAAGCGACGAGACUAGAAUGUGUCCGCGUUUAGUGGGUCCGUUCUGGUAAGCAGAACUGAUAAUGAGGGAUGAACCUAACGUCGUGUUAAGGGGCCAAAAAGACAGCUAUUUCUCGAAACCAUUGGAAAGGCGUUGCUUGCUGAAGACAGCAGGACGGUGGUCAUGGAAGUUGACACCCGCUAAGGAGUGUGUAACAACUCAUCCUGCCGAAGCGAGUAACCCUGAAAAUGGAUGGCUCUAAAGCUCUCUCCCGAUGCACGACCGUCAGAGGCAACAAGGCUACUUUUAGUCUCGAUGCCCUGACGAGUAGGACGGGGUAUCGGUGCGCGUCGAAGGCCUUAGGGUGACCUGGGCUGGAGCCGCCGGUAAUCCAGAUCUUGGUGGUAGUAGCAAGUACUCUGGUUGAUAACCUUGAGCUAUGAGGUUGAUAAGGGUUCCAUGUCAACAGCGUUUGUACAUGGGUAAGCCGAUCCUAAGCCAACCUAUACCCCGGUAUGGAGCGCGAGCGCAACUUACUAAAAAUACGCGAGUGUGUGUGUGUGUUGUUUGUUUGAGAUAUAUAUAAAAGAGRCGGUACAUGCUUAGCMUAUCAGCGCGGGGCUAAAUUCGAAUCAUAUAUCUCGGCAAAAGCAAAUAAUAUAUACACAUACCCAUCUCUCGGACGUUWCUGAGGACGCGUCACGUAAAUAUAUCUAUACGGAGAGUGUUWGUACCYGAUUGUUCAGCGGUCUUUUUWACUGUGUAGAGCAUAGCCUUGCCGAAAAGAUCUGCGCGCGCAUCAAUAUGUACAACUUUCGAUGUGUAUGAUUAUCGCGAAGUUWUUAUACUAUGAUUGGGAAAWAUYUAGUGUGACUACGMAACUACUACACACGUGUAGAACGAAUACGAGCCMCUUUUUAUAGUACCYUAAAUAUGUAUAUUUUUUUAUAUCUCCUGAUAACCUUACAUCUUUUUCGAUUGUGCGGUGUGUGGUAUGAGAUCGAAAGGUGAUACGUUUUCAUGCACGAAAGUUUUUUUUGUGUAGUACGGGGCAGUAGUUCUCUUUUGUCUAAGAGUGAGUGUUGUUGUGAGUUGUUUUAGCCUGGCGAAAGGGAACUAUGGACUUAGUUCAUGGGCCUCUCUUGGUUCCCUGGUGCGUCGCCGUAUCACGAACUUAGCAACAGCUAUCUAGCUGAGCCAUCGCAGUCUCUUGUCGCGUGAUGGGGAGAUGUCUCCUCUCAUUAAUCGAACCUCUGGAGCCUGUUAAGCGCCUUGAGAGGAGCUAGGCUUUAUGUUCGUGAGAAGAGUAAUUUCUCUCCCCAAUCAUAUCGAUGUCUCAAGAGAUCCGUGAAAAGGUGGCCGCGGGAAUUUCUCUUCGAACUCCUAAACAAGUUCUUAGAGAUUGCCAAGAGUGUACGUACCCGAGUCCGCAUCC